GAUGAACGCUGGCGGCGUGCCUAAUACAUGCAAGUCGAGCGAACGGACGAGAAGCUUGCUUCUCUGAUGUUAGCGGCGGACGGGUGAGUAACACGUGGAUAACCUACCUAUAAGACUGGGAUAACUUCGGGAAACCGGAGCUAAUACCGGAUAAUAUUUUGAACCGCAUGGUUCAAAAGUGAAAGACGGUCUUGCUGUCACUUAUAGAUGGAUCCGCGCUGCAUUAGCUAGUUGGUAAGGUAACGGCUUACCAAGGCAACGAUGCAUAGCCGACCUGAGAGGGUGAUAGGCCACACUGGAACUGAAACACGGUCCAGACUCCUAAGGGAGGCAGCAGUAGGGAAUCUUACGCAGUGGGCGAAAGCAUGACGGAGCAACGCCGCGUGAGUGAUGAAGGUCUUCGGAUCGUAAAACUCUGUUAUUAGGGAAGAACAUAUGUGUAAGUAACUGUGCACAUCUUGACGGUACCUAAUCAGAAAGCCACGGCUAACUACGUG
rnacentral:rRNA from 1 species